rnacentral:rRNA from 1 species
UACGGAGGGUGCAAGCGUUAUCCGGAUUCACUGGGUUUAAAGGGUGCGUAGGUGGGCAGGUAAGUCAGUGGUGAAAUCUCCGGGCUUAACCCGGAAACUGCCGUUGAUACUAUUUGUCUUGAAUAUUGUGGAGGUAAGCGGAAUAUGUCAUGUAGCGGUGAAAUGCUUAGAUAUGACAUAGAACACCAAUUGCGAAGGCAGCUCACUACACAAUUAUUGACGCUGAGGCACGAAAGCGUGGGGAUCAAACAGG